CAGACCAUCUUCAAGACACCGCCUGGAGUCUGCAGCCACAAAGUCACACAUAUAAAGCAUGCAGAGUGGCAGUGGAGAUGCAUCAGCCCUUACCUGACGUACCACCCAACACCUGUGCCACCUGAGAUGCCCCAGUAUGUUUUUCUCUCCUAUCUACUGGCAAGACCAUCUUCAAGACACAGCCUGGAGCCUGCAGCCACAAAGUCGGGGACCCCAGACAGCAAAACCACACUGAUGAAAAUUCAGCAAGACCACUGGCAGCACCAACUAUCCCCCUGAUUUCAACAAGCGAACCCAACAUAAAUCAAUCUGCUGCUCAACAUAAUAAAUAAAUGUACAUUUUAUUCUA